GUCCACGCCCUAAACGAUGCGAACUGGAUGUUGGGUGCAACUUGGCACCCAGUAUCGAAGCUAACGCGUUAAGUUCGCCGCCUGGGGAGUACGGUCGCAAGACUGAAACUCAAAGGAAUUGACGGGGGCCCGCACAAGCGGUGGAGUAUGUGGUUUAAUUCGAUGCAACGCGAAGAACCUUACCUGGUCUUGACAUCCACGGAACUUUCCAGAGAUGGAUUGGUGCCUUCGGGAACCGUGAGACAGGUGCUGCAUGGCUGUCGU
rnacentral:rRNA from 1 species